CCUACGGGAGGCAGCAGUGGGGAAUUUUCCGCAAUGGGCGAAAGCCUGACGGAGCAAUACCGCGUGAGGGAAGAAUGCCUACGGGUUGUAAACCUCUUUUAUCAGGGAGGAACAAAAUGACGUGUACCUGAUGAAUAAGCAUCGGCUAACUCUGUGCCAGCAGCCGCGGUAAGACAGAGGAUGCAAGUGUUAUCCGGAAUUACUGGGCGUAAAGCGUCUGUAGGUUGUUGAACAAGUCAACUGUUAAAUCUUGAAGCUCAACUUCAAAAUCGCAGUCGAAACUGUUUGACUAGAGUAUAGUAGAGGUAAAGGGAAUUUCCAGUGGAGCGGUGAAAUGCGUAGAUAUUGGAAAGAACACCGGAUGGCGAAAGCACUUUACUGGGCUAUUACUGACACUCAGAGACGACAGCUAGGGUAGCAAAUGGGAUUAGAUACCCCAGUAGUCCUAGCCGUAAACUAUGGAUACUAGAUGUUGAACAGAUUCGACCUGUGCAGUNUUAAACGCUAACGCGUUAAAGUAUCCCGCCUGGGGAAUNUGCUCGCAGAGAGAACGUACGAAGAAGUAGUACGCGUGAGACGUACGCGACGACGACGACGAGGGAGAGG
rnacentral:rRNA from 1 species